CGGGAAACUGGGGAUAAUACCCCAUAGCCUAUGGAUGCUGGAAUGCUCUGUAGCCGAAAGGUCCGCCGCCACAGGAUGAGUCUGCGGCCGAUUAGGUUGUUGUUGGGGUAACGGCCCAACAAGCCUGUAAUCGGUACGGGUUGUGGGAGCAAGAGCCCGGAGAUGGAUUCUGAGACACGAAUCCAGGCCCUACGGGGCGCAGCAGGCGCGAAAACUUUGCAAUGCGGGAAACCGUGACAAGGGAACUCCGAGUGCCCGUAAAUUCGGGCUGUCCGCCAGUUUAAACAACUGGUGAAGAAAGGGCCGGGCAAGACCGGUGCCAGCCGCCGCGGUAACA
rnacentral:rRNA from 1 species